rnacentral:rRNA from 1 species
UAGAGCCUACAUACCCUAAAGGCACCAGAUCCCAUCUGAUCUUGGAAGCUAAGCAUGGUAAGUCCUAGUUAGUACUUGGAUGGGAGAAUGCCAAUGAAUAUAGUUGUAGGCCAUAU